ACUACUAGAGAACUACAGAGUACAAAGCGCACACACGCAUCCUUUAUUUAUUUUACUAAGAAACAUGACAAGUAGAUCAUCAUAGUAUUAUGAAUGAAGCUCAAACAAACUGCUGGAGGUAUUCGUCAACGGUUGUGUACUUGACAUCAGGGUAGAGCUGAGAAGCCUCGUGUCCAAAUGAAGCCUCUAUCUCGAAAUUGGUUUGAUCUCCCUUAACAAAUACCGCAUGGCUGAUUGAAAUUAUCAAAUUCAUCGGUGGUGCUGACCCUGCAAAAUUACAUAAAAAAACCACAAACAAGUUCGGAUCAUGUUUCUGAUGCACUGAUAAUUUGGUAGUCGUUUGAUGGUUCUAGCUCUGUUGUCAUGUUAUUUCUAGAGGCUACUCACCUUGGAUUUGGUUUAGAACAUGCUCCUCUGGAACAUGAAUCUUUUCAAGAACCUUGUCGAUCUUCUUCUCCCACAAGGUAACUAGAUCGUUGAAGGAGUGGAUAUUGUGAGGAGGCUUGAUGUAGAGGGACUUGUUAACGGUUCUCGGGUCGUCCACUGUUUUAAUAGUGUAGGUGGCAAUAUCUUGUUCCAAGUUAAACACAGCUGCAACCCAGGAGAAACAGAAUUAUAGCCUUUCCCAAAUCAUGUUUAUUGAUACCUAAAGUCAUAAAGAAAAUAUUAGACAGAGUCACGGUACCUUUGGCACUUCCAUCUCCCAGGAUCACGACUUUGUCUCUCGGUGGAGCAGUGGCUCCUGGCUGAGCCAUCGUAGGAAGAAAAUAUCCUGCAAAACAAGCAGAGAUGAUAUAGGUGUAGGGGAUGCCUUGAGCCUCAAUUGCUCUGCGGAUUUUAGCUUUUUCGGCAAAGUUAGUUUUUGCAGGCUCCACGACAUUUGUACGAUCCACAUCAUUUCCGAACUCUGAGGGAAUGAAUCUCUGUAAUCAUGAGCGAAAGCAAGGCACAUCAAAAAAAAUAAUUCAGGAGUGGAUUAGAAAAUAUUGGGAAAUAUAGGCGAACCUUGACGUUUCCAGCUUCUUUAAUAGCAUCAAGAAUCUUGGAUUGAUCAAGUAUCUGUCCGAAAGUCACCGCUGAGAUGACCACGUCCACUUGCUUAAUGGCCUUUACUAAACUCUCAUGAUCAUGGAGAUCUCCCUGCACAUACCAAAUGAAAUUCAACUAUAUACAAAUAAACAUGUUCAUUUGUGGACAGUCGAUUUUAACAUAAAUUGGCCUUACAUAGACGACUGUAACUCCGGAGNUGGCGCACUAUGUAACUCCAUACAAGGAGUCACUCUCCGGAAUGUUGGCCGACAUAUGUAUGCCACAACAUAAUGGCUGUAGACCUCCAAAAUCAUAAACUGAUAUAUUUCGACAAAAUCAGUGUAAAAAAGACAAGCCAAUAAGCCAUACUUUGCGAUCAAUGGUUCAAUGUCACACAUAAAGUGUAAACAACAUCAACAUAAAAACAUUAUAAACUCAAAUAAAGAUAACAUACCAAACCAUGAGCAGGCUGUUUUAUAUCCAGUACUGACACUACUAGAGAACUACAGAGUACAAAGCGCACACACGCAUCCUUUAUUUAUUUUACUAAGAAACAUGACAAGUAGAUCAUCAUAGUAUUAUGAAUGAAGCUCAAACAAACUGCUGGAGGUAUUCGUCAACGGUUGUGUACUUGACAUCAGGGUAGAGCUGAGAAGCCUCGUGUCCAAAUGAAGCCUCUAUCUCGAAAUUGGUUUGAUCUCCCUUAACAAAUACCGCAUGGCUGAUUGAAAUUAUCAAAUUCAUCGGUGGUGCUGACC
rnacentral:lncRNA from 1 species